AUAGCAACGUUUGAUUCACCCAGGAAGCGACACCGGCAUUCCAUCUAAAAGAAAAAAGACGAUAAAUGACAUUCUUUUGAAGAAAUGUCCGUUUAAAUGUUCUCAGAUUGAUUAAUUAUUCAUAUAAAUAGGCUUCGUUUGAUCGAAUGUUCAGUAAAUAUUGUCUGGGAAGUAAUGGAUGACGAAAUCAGCUCGAGCAUCGAUUAUGCAAAUGAGUAGCACCAUGUCCUCCAGUAAUCUGCCACCCCUGCGAAAUCUGCCCAGCUGGACCAGGGUUCGAGAUCUGGACCGUGUCAGAUACCCCAGACUGCUGUCCAGUGACUGUAUGGUCAGAUCUCCAGCUGUGGGCUUCAAGAGCCAGAAGUCAGCUGCUGAGCCCAGGACAGAUGCACCCAGCACGAGCAUCACCUCCCUGGAGAAGGAUGUUCUGUUCCUCCAACAACAGCAUAAAGACACGCUGGAGAGACUGCACGCAGAGAUUGAAGAUCUGAAGCGUGUUAAUAAAGAAUUACAGUAUAAGCUGAUUAUGGAACAUGAAAAUUCUCCAAAAGAGUGCAUAUGGUCCAACAGUAAUUCCUCCAAAUCCAGCAGUGAUGGUUCAGUGGAGAAGAAUUCCCAGUGUGGAUUCAUCAGCUCGGAGGAGGCAUGUGAGGCGGCAGGAGGAGGCGCAGUCACGUCUCUGCUGCCUCUCAGGAUCACCUGCAGCCCGUCCCAGCAGCCCCGCACCCCGACGCUGAAAGAGUGUGAGCUCCUCAUCCGCCAGCUCCAUCACACCAACACCGCGCAGAAUCAGGAGCUGCUGCGGAUCAAGACGGUCCUCAGAGAAAUCACCUCCAAGAACAGAUCAGCUGCUGAAGCUUUCUCUCUCACAAGAGCCUCGCUCUGUGACAACAGCAGGGGUGAGGUCUUCGAGCAUCUUCCAAAACUACCUCUCAAACCACUCCCAAAGAAACAGAUUCUGGAUCGGUCGGGUAAAGGAGAACCUGUGCUUCUCCCAGCCAUCAAGCACAGUCUCAGCAGCAGCAUGUCCGAGCGGCAGAGGAGAGCGCAGGACGUGCACAGACUGCGUCUCAGGAGAGCGCUGAACUCUUAACCCUCCUCUGCAGUGCUUCUGUCAUUGGGUCUUCCUGUUUGCUGAUUAGAAGAGACGCGAGGAAUGAGUGAAUGGCUGUUGAUCACGUUUGAUUCCCUAAUGAACUAAAUAAGACUCUUUCCAGAGAAGCAGCCAAAUGUCAAAGACGAGACGAGAGCUAAGCUGGCCGUCCUUCAACAGGAAGAUCUCUAGAGACAGACACAAUAUAUAUACAUUCAAAUCUCUUAUAAAACCUGGUUUUGAUGAGAUACACUAAAAUGUGCGUUCCCCUUGAGGUUUCAGAAAGCAAUGCGGUCUAAAUUCUAAUUUAACUCUCUUUAAAUAAAUGCAACAGCAACAUUUUAUUAUGUGUUAUUAUUUCUGUAGAGUUCUUGUUUCUGUUGUUAGUCCUGGACUCAUGCAGGGACCUGUAAGUGUUCAUUUCUUCACUAAGGCCGAGUAUGUUUCCUCUGUAGUGCGCUAGUGUAAUAUGGCCAUUGAGAAGGUCUUAUAGUCUCCUGUAGGAUCUCUAACUGAUGAGUUCCAGCAACUGGAUCCAUGCCCAGGCCUUCAGCAGACACCACAUAGUAUUACUGUGUUUAAGAGCCUUAUUAAGUAAUGGGUUUUAGAGGGCACUAUCUCAUUCAGUUCAAUUCAAUCAGAUGCUCAAGAUGCCUCAAACAACACGUUUCUCUAAUUCACUUUACACAAGAAAACAUUUCAGUAACACUUUGCUUGUAAAG